rnacentral:rRNA from 1 species
CCUACGGGUGACAGCAGUGGGGAAUAUUGGACAAUGGGGGGAACCCUGAUCCAGCCAUGCCGCGUGUGUGAAGAAGGCCCUCGGGUUGUAAAGCACUUUCAGUGAGGAAGAACGCCUGGUGGUUAAUACCCAUCAGGAAAGACAUCACUCACAGAAGAAGCACCGGCUAACUCCGUGCCAGCAGCCGCGGUAAUACGGAGGGUGCGAGCGUUAAUCGGAAUUACUGGGCGUAAAGCGCGCGUAGGUGGCUUGAUAAGCCGGUUGUGAAAGCCCCGGGCUCAACCUGGGAACGGCAUCCGGAACUGUCAAGCUAGAGUGCAGGAGAGGAAGGUAGAAUUCCCGGUGUAGCGGUGAAAUGCGUAGAGAUCGGGGGGAAUACCAGUGGCGAAGGCGGCCUUCUGGACUGACACUGACACUGAGGUGCGAAAGCGUGGGUAGCAAACAGGAUUAGAUACCCGGGUAGUC